ACGCUCGACACCUACGGGAGGUAGCAGUGGGGAAUAUUGCACAAUGGGGGAAACCCUGAUGCAGCGACGCCGCGUGAGCGAAGAAGUAUUUCGGUAUGUAAAGCUCUAUCAGCAGGGAAGAAACUGACGGUACCUGACUAAGAAGCACCGGCUAAAUACGUGCCAGCAGCCGCGGUAAUCUGAGCGGGCUGGCAAGGC
rnacentral:rRNA from 1 species